rnacentral:snoRNA from 1 species
GCCCUAAAUGAUGAUAUCUUAGGAAAGCUAUGGAUUUAUUGUCCAAAUGAAGCUUCUUUGUCAUAGUUACUCUGAUAGGGC